rnacentral:rRNA from 1 species
AUGGUUGGAUGAAAAGUUUACUUUCUUUAUUUUAUAAAAAAAAGUUAAUUUUUAGAUCAAAAAGUCUAAAUUUUGUUAGAGGACGAGAAGACCCCAUAGAACUUUAUUCUCCCCCAAAUAAUUAUUUACUUGUAAAUAAUUUUUGUUUAUUUGGGGGGAGAAUUUUGUUGGGGUGACAAAAAAAUUUUUAUAACUUUUUUUAUUAAUUUCAUUUGUUUAUGAGUUUUUGAUCCUUUAGUAAGGAAUUAGGAUUAAGUUACCUUGGGGAUAACAGCGUUAUUGUUUUAGAGAGUUCAUAUUGAUAAAAUAGUUUGCGACCUCGAUGUUGGAUUAAAAUAAGUCUUAGGGGCAGAAUAU